AAGGGGCAGUAAUGUAUGGGUACCUACCUUGGGGUUGAGCAUAGCCGUUCUAACGGACGGGUAAUACUCAGCGAUGUCGCAAGACCAAAGGUCCGCCGCCCUGAGAGGGGCCCAUAUCGGAUUAGCUAGUUGGUGAGGUAAAGGCUCACCAAGGCCGAGAUCUGUAGCGGGUGUGAGAGCACGACCCGCGCCACUGGCACUGAGACACUGGCCAGACACCUACGGGUGGCUGCAGUCGAGGAUCUUCGUCAAUGGGGGCAACCCUGAACGAGCGAUGCCGCGUGUGCGAUGAAGGCCUUCGGGUUGUAAAGCACGAAAGAGAUAAGAAAGGGCAACUUGAUCGAAUCUCAGUAAGCUCGGGCUAAGUUCGUGCCAGCAGCCGCGGUAAGACGAACCGAGCGAACGUUGUUCGGAAUCACUGGGCUUAAAGGGCGCGUAGGCGGGUGGUUAAGUCUGUGGUGAAAUCCUCCAGCUCAACUGGAGAACUGCCAUGGAUACUGGUCAUCUCGAGGAAGGUAGGGGUAUGUGGAACUAUCGGUGGAGCGGUGAAAUGCGUUGA
rnacentral:rRNA from 1 species